CAGAGCUGCUUCUUGGGGUCAUCAACCUGGACACAAAUGAAUACGAAAUUGGGCACACACCAAGACUAGGCUUGAAAGUCGUUCAGCAGAAUGCGCGCAAGUUCCGGCAGCUGCGUUUGCGGAGCUGGUGGAGGCUCUACAACAAGGCAAGAUGCUGGGCAUGGUGGCUCAUGCCUGUAGUCCCAGCACUCGGGAGGCUGAGGCAGGAGGAUUGUUGUGAGUUUGAGACCAGCCUGGACUACAAAGUGAGCUCAAGGCCAGCCUGAACUGCAUAACAAGACCCUGUCUCAAAAAAACAACAAAACAAACAAACAACAACAAAAAAAAACCACAAAAAACAAGGUGAGGCCUAGGGCUAAGA
rnacentral:lncRNA from 1 species